GAUGAACGCUGGCGGCGUGCCUAAUACAUGCAAGUCGAGCGAACGGACGAGAAGCUUGCUUCUCUGAUGUUAGCGGCGGACGGGUGAGUAACACGUGGAUAACCUACCUAUAAGACUGGGAUAACUUCGGGAAACCGGAGCUAAUACCGGAUAAUAUUUUGAACCGCAUGGUUCAAAAGUGAAAGACGGUCUUGCUGUCACUUAUUGAUGGAUCCGCGCUGCAUUAGCUAGUUGGUAAGGUAACGGCUUACCAAGGCAACGAUGCAUAGCCGACCUGCGAGGGUGAUCGGCCACACUGGAACUGAGACACGGUCCAGACUCCUACGGGAGGCAGCAGUAGGGAAUCUUCCGCAAUGGGCGAAAGCCUGACGGAGCAACGCCGCGUGAGUGAUGAAGGUCUUCGGAUCGUAAAACUCUGUUAUUAGGGAAGAACAUAUGUGUAAGUAACUGUGCACAUCUUGACGGUACCUAAUCAGAAAGCCACGGCUAACUACGUG
rnacentral:rRNA from 1 species